rnacentral:rRNA from 1 species
UACGUAGGGUGCGAGCGUUGUCCGGAAUUAUUGGGCGUAAAGAGCUCGUAGGCGGUUUGUCGCGUCGGCCGUGAAAACUUGGGGUUUAACCCCAAGCCUGCGGUCGAUACGGGCAGACUUGAGUUCGGCAGGGGAGACUGGAAUUCCUGGUGUAGCGGUGAAAUGCGCAGAUAUCAGGAGGAACACCGGUGGCGAAGGCGGGUCUCUGGGCCGAUACUGACGCUGAGGAGCGAAAGCGUGGGGAGCGAACAGG